rnacentral:lncRNA from 1 species
UUCAGCUCUUUUAAUAGCUCGGCGCUGAUUUCUCAGGUAACGAAGCUAGCCGACGGUGUCUUCAUCGCUUUCAGCACGAAUCACUCGGUGGCGGACGGCCUGUCGCAUUGGGACUUCGUCAACACCUUCGCUGAGAUCAGCCGGGGGGCCCCGAUAUCCCACCUACCCGACUUCUCCCGCGACACGCCCUUCGACUCCCGGGCCGUGCUCCCAUUCCCGCCGGGCGGACCGACCGGCAAGCACCCUUUCGGAGGCGACGCGUCGUUGAGGGAGCGGGUCUUCCAUUUCAGCAGGGAUGCCAUCUUGAAACUCAAACAGAGGGCCAACCAGGGAUAUUCGGCGGGAACGAAGGGUGCGGAGAACCGUGGUGGGAUUUCGUCCUUCCAAUCGCUCUGCGCCUUGUUGUGGCGGUCCAUCACGCGAGCUAGGCAGCAGACGACGCUCUUCCGGAUGUCGGUGGACUGCCGCAAGAGGUUGGAACCGAGACUGGACCCGCACUACUUCGGCAACGCGAUCCUGGGCGCGGAGAUUUCCGCCUCCGCGGACGAUCUCCUGGCCAACGACCUGAAUUGGGGCGCCAGGUUGAUGCACGAGACCCUGGCGACGUGGGACGAUUCCACGGUGCGGCGGCGGGUGGCGGAGUGGGAACGAGAGCCCAGGGCGAUCCCGUACGACAUCGCCGAGGGCCGACGAUCUCGAUAGGCAGCUCACCGAGGUUCCCGAUCUACGAGGCGGAUUUCGGGUGGGGGCGCCCUCUGGCGGUCAGGAGCGGACGCAACAACAAGUUCGACGGCAAGAUCAACGCGUUUCCGGCUAAGGAGGGCGAUGGAGGUGUCGCCUUGGAGGUGGCUCUGGCGCCCGAGACUAUGACCAGGCUCGAGGCUGACUUGGAGCUCAUGCAGUACGCGACGCACAGUGGAUCGAGUCGAUAGGAGAGGUCGGACAAAAUUUGGAAACUUUAAACGCUUAUAACUCUGUUUUAAAAAAAAAUUCGAGGUUCUAAAAGUGGUUCCAUUGGUUCUAUCGUGAAAUUUUCUUCAAAAAGAGCCUUCUUUAAUUGAAAUUAUAACGAAUUAAACAUCAAAAUUUGCAGCUGUAGUCCACAAUUUCAUGUCCGACCUGUGUCUCUGAUGACUUGAUCCACUGUGCGUCGUUUGAGGAGGAGAGAACUCAAGGAGAAAUAACUCAAAUUUCUACUGAUCUAAGGCCUUGUCUCCACGUCCUGCUAAAAAUGAUGAGUAGGCUAUUCAGAAUUCGCCGACUCACAUGAGUAUAAUUUCCUAUAUACUUAUUUGAGUAGAAAUCCUACUCAUAUCACUAGAAUAUUCUACUCAUAAGAAUAAGAGUAGAAAAAUUCGACUCAAAAGAAUUCAAUUUUUUUCAUUUUUCAUAAGUGGUGUUUUUGACCAGGAGACACCGACAUAAUAUGUAAAUUUGAAAAAUAAGAACAUUUUGUUCUUAUAAUUUUUUUAAUGCGGUGAUCUGAGAUAUCGGACACGGUAGAUUCAACGCUGAGCUCAUGUGAGUUGAAAUCUCUAGUCAUAUGAGCCGACGAAAAGUGAAUAGAAAAAUUCUGCUCAUAUGAGUUAAAUUCUAUUCAAAUUUGAAAUUCUAUUCAUAUGAGUUGAAAUUCGAUUCAUGUGAAUUGAAAUUCUAUUCAAAUGACUUUGAUUUUCUACUCAUUUGUACUUACCAUUUUUAGCAGGGCGAACUUUUCAUGGGAUUUGCCACAACUUCGAAUCGCAGGAAUAAUACUUCCGGACUUUUUUCCCCUUUUAACAAAACGACAAAGUUUCCUCUCCUUCCUCUGAGUCGCUCUAAGGACUCGACUAGUGAUCAACUUGGUACUGUUAUCAAGAGGUUGAAGGAAAGGAAAGAUGGAAAGAUUUGUAAGUUCACGGGACUGGGAAAUAUUGCAUAUUUUAAGGGGGCUAGGGUAUGCAACCAGGCAACCUGCACUCGAACACACAAAAAUGGAAGUCACUAUUUGUACAUUUUCCGAAACAUGAAGAUGAGCUGGUAUUUUUCAAUAUCUUUCAUAAAUUUCUGAAAUUUCAUGAAAUCGUCACCUUCCCGGCAAAGUAUCACAAGCGCUAUGCGACGUUUAAAAAUUUCUGCCGCCAUUUUAUUUUCUAACAGAGAAAUUGUUCAACGAAGCUGUCCAAAAAUUUCACUGAAUUAUCUUCGUGCUGACGAUAAAAUUCAGUGAAAUUUUCAACCAGAUUCAACCAACAUUCUUUGUAAAAAAUAAAAUGGCGACCGAAAUUUUUAAACGUCGCAUGGCGCUUGUGAUACUUUGCCGAGAAGGUGACGAAAUAUUGCCGCACGUGAAAUUUCAAGAUUUUAUUUGUCAAGAAAAAAAAAAACCCACCCUGACAGUAAGUACUGUGAUUAGUAUUGAUUAACUCGAUACUUUUCCUAACUUUGCUUGUGAGAUUUUCGUCUGGGACAAAUCCCAUGAAUCGUCACGCGGAGACAAUAGUACUAUCAUGCACUAUUUAAGUGCUCUGCCGUUCUCAGGAAAAUACUGAGUGAGCAUUUGAGAGUUACAAAAUUUCCGUCAUAAAAAAUUUAUCCUGGAUGUAAGUUAUGAAUAUAUUUCCUCGAAAUUUUCAGAUAUUAAAUUGAAAAUAAAACUUUCUGAAAAUUGGAGUAAAUAUUCCUGAUUUCCCCAUGGAAUUUGUGCUUCAUUGAAGGAUAUUAAGCAAUGCCUGAAGUUCAAUUAGGCGUUUCUUUGCGUACAUCAGUACAUUUGCUGUCGAGACUCAUUUCGUGAAUGGAUCCACCUAUCUUGAUUAAUCCCAAAUGAUAGACAGAUACAAGAUAGUGUUUGGAAAAGUACCUAUUGGUACAGGGAAAUUGUUGGCAGAAAUCAAUGGCUUAAGGCCAAAAAUUCUGAUCUUAACUGCGACAUUGAAAAACGAAUUAUGUGUUACUUCCUUCAGGAAAAAUUAGUGAAAAUGGUUCCUAAUAAUUUUGGGUAAUUUUUUUUGAAUUAAAAAAUGGAAUAAAACAAGAGCAUUGAGCAGAUUCUCACAAUGUCGCGAUCUAGGAUAUUGACAGCUAAGGAAUAAUAAUGUUUAAAAACUGCAAACUGAAACUUUGACUGAACGAAGGAAAAACUUUGCCUUAUUGUGAUUUCGAGGUUGCGUUUGAACUUUAGUUUAUACAUUACAGCACUCCCAUGCUGAGUUGGCAAAAACUAAGUAUAAAAGCAGCUUACUUACCAUGGUGGUGAUUUGCGAUCCACAGUGCUGCCACUAUC